rnacentral:piRNA from 1 species
UUAUAAUACAUAGCGAAUUGU